UACGUAGGGUGCGAGCGUUAAUCGGAAUUACUGGGCGUAAAGCGUGCGCAGGCGGCUUACUAAGACAGGUGUGAAAGCCCCGAGCUUAACUUGGGAAUGGCGCUUGUGACUGGUAGGCUGGAGUGUGGCAGAGGGAGGUGGAAUUCCACGUGUAGCAGUGAAAUGCGUAGAGAUGUGGAGGAACACCGAUGGCGAAGGCAGCCUCCUGGGCCAGCACUGACGCUCAUGCACGAAAGCGUGGGGAGCGAACCGG
rnacentral:rRNA from 1 species